UACGGGGGGGGCAAGCGUUGUUCGGAAUUACUGGGCGUAAAGGGCUCGUAGGUGGCCAACUAAGUCAGACGUGAAAUCCCCAGGCUCAACCUGGGAACUGCAUCUGAUACUGGAUGGCUUGAAUUCGGGAGAGGGAUGCAGAAUUCCAGGUGUAGCGGUGAAAUGCGUAGAUAUCUGGAGGAAUACCGGUGGCGAAGGCGGCAUCCUGGACCGACAUUGACGCUGAGGAGCGAAAGCUAGGGGAGCAAACGGG
rnacentral:rRNA from 1 species